GCUGGGCAUGGUGGUGUGUGCCUGUAAUCCCAACUACUCGGGAGGCUGAGGCAGGAGAAUCUCUUGAGCCCAGGAGGCAGAGUUUGCAGUGAGCUGAGAGUGCACCACCACUGCACUCCCGCCUGGGCAACAGAGUGAGACUCUGUCUCAA
ensembl:misc_RNA Metazoa_SRP Metazoan signal recognition particle RNA